rnacentral:rRNA from 1 species
UACGGGGGGGGUAAGCGUUGUUCGGAAUUACUGGGCGUAAAGGGCUCGUAGGCGGCCAACUAAGUCGGACGUGAAAUCCCUCAGCUUAACUGGGGAACUGCGUCCGAUACUGGAUGGCUUGGAUUUGGGAGAGGGAUGCGGAAUUCCAGGUGUAGCGGUGAAAUGCGUAGAUAUCUGGAGGAACACCGGUGGCGAAGGCGGCAUCCUGGGCCAACACUGACGCUGAGGAGCGAAAGCCAGGGGAGCAAACGGG